rnacentral:miRNA from 1 species
UGAGGCAGGAGAAUUGCUUGAACCCAGGAGGUGGAGAUUGCAGUGAGCCGAGAUCGAGCCACUGCACUCCAGCCUAGGUGACAUAGCGAGACUCUGUCUCA